CUCUAGACCAGGUUGUAGUGUCUCUGUAGUGUCUCUCUAGACCAGGUUGUCGUGUCUCUAGACCAGGUUGUAGUGUCUCUCUAGACCAGGUUGUAGUGUCUCUCUAGACCAGGUUGUAGUGUCUCUCUAGACCAGGUUGUAGUGUCUCUAGACCAGGUUGUAGUGUCUCUCUAGACCAGGUUGUCGUGUCUCUAGACCAGGUUGUAGAGUCUCUGUAGUGUCUCUCUAGACCAGGUUGUAGUGUCUCUCUAGACCAGGUUGUAGUGUCUCUCUAGACCAGGUUGUAGUGUCUCUCUAGACCAGGUUGUAGUGUCUCUAGACCAGGUCGUAGUGUCUCUAUAGACCAGGUUGUAGUGUCUCUAGACCAGGUUGUAGUGUCUCUCUAGACCAGGUUGUAGUGUCUCUCUAGACCAGGUUGUGUAGUGUCUCUCUAGACCAGGUUGUAGUGUCUCUCUAGUGUCUCUCUAGACGAGGUUGUAGUGUCUCUGUAGUGUCUCUCUAGACCAGGUUGUAGUGUCUCUCUAGACCAGGUUGUAGUGUCUCUCUGGACCAGGUUGUAGUGUCGCCUCUAGACCAGGUUGUAGUGUCUCUCUAGACCAGGUUGUAGUGUCUCUGUAGUGUCUCUCUAGACCAGGUUGUAGUGUCUCUCUAGACCAGGUUGUAAAGUAACAGGUCUUUAUCUCCAGGAUAACUGAAAAAUGAACAACACUACGACCAGGUCAGAUUAACAACACUACGACCAGGUUAUAUUAACAACACUAUGACCAGGUUAGAUUAACAACACUACGACCAGGUUAGAUUAACAACACUACGACCAGGUUAGAUUAACAACACUACGACCAGGUUAUAUUAACAACACUACGACCAGGUUAGAUUAACAACACUACAACCAGGUUAGAUUAACAACACUACGACCAGGUCAGAUUAAUGACCAGGUUAGAUUAACAACACUACGACCAGGUCAGAUUAACGACCAGGUUAGAUUAACAACACCACGAGCAGGUUAUAUUAACAACACUACGACCAGGUUAGAUUGACAACACUACGACCAAGUUAGAUUAACAACACUAUGACCAGGUUAGAUUAACAACACUACGACCAGGUCAGAUUAACGACCAGGUUAGAUUAACAACACCACGGCCAGGUUAGAUUAACAACACUACGACCAGGUUAGAUUAACGACCAAGUUAGCUUAACAACACCACGGCCAGGUUAGAUUAACAACACUACAACCAGGUUAGAUUACCAACACCACGGCCAGGUUAGAUUAACGACCAGGUUAGAUUAGCAACACCACGACCAGGUUAGAUUAACAACACUACGACCAGGUCAGAUUAACAACCAGGUUAGAUUAACAACACUACGACCAGGUUAUAUUAACAACACCACGACCAGGUUAGAUAAACAACACCACGGCCAGGUUAGAUUAACAACACCACGGCCAGGUUAGAUUAACAACACUACGACCAGGUUAGAUUGACAACACUACGACCAGGUCAGAUUAACAACACUACGACCAGGUUAUAUUAACAACACUACGACCAGGUUAGAUUAACAACACUACGACCAGGUUAGAUUAACAACACCACGACCAGGUUAGAUUAACAACACUACAGCCAGGUUAGAUUAACAACACUAUGGCCAGAUUAGAUUAACGACCAGGUUAGAUUAACAACACCACGGCCAGGUUAUAUUAACAACACUACAACCAGGUUAGAUUAACAACACCACGGCCAGGUUAGAUUGACAACACUACGACCAGGUUAGAUUAACAACACUACGACCAGGUUAGAUUAACAACACUACGACCAGGUUAGAUUAACGACCAGGUUAGAUUAACAACACCACGGCCAGGUUAGAUUAACAACACUACGAACAGGUUACAUUAACAACACCAAGGCCAGGUUAGAUUAACAACACUACGGCCAGGUUAGAUUAACGACCAGGUUAGAUUAACAACACCACGGCCAGGUUAGAUUGACAACACUACGACCAGGUUAUAUUAACAACACUACGACCAGGUUAGAUUAACAACACUACGACCAGGUUAGAUUAACAACACCACGAGCAGGUUAGAUUAACGACCAGGUUAGAUUAGCAACACUACGGCCAGGUUAGAUUAACAACACUACGGCCAGGUUAGAUUAACGACCAGGUUAGAUUAACAACACCACGGCCAGGUUAGAUUAACAACACUACGACCAGGUUAGAUUAACAACACCACGGCCAGGUUAGAUUAACAACACUACGACCAGGUUAGAUUAACAACACUACGACCAGGUCAGAUUAACAACACUACGACCAGGUCAGAUUAACAACACUACGACCAGGUUAUAUUAACAACACUACGACCAGGUUAGAUUAACAACACCACGGCCAGGUUAGAUUGACAACACUACGACCAGGUUAUAUUAACAACACUACGACCAGGUUAGAUUAACAACACCACGGCCAGGUUAGAUUGACAACACUACGACCAGGUUAUAUUAACAACACUACGACCAGGUUAGAUUAACAACACCACGGCCAGGUUAGAUUAACAACACCUCGGCCAGGUUAGAUUAACGACCAGGUUAGAUUAACAACACUACGACCAGGCACACACAGUCUCAAAUGGAACCCUUUUCCACAGCUCCCUAUGUGGGUCCUGACCAAAAGUAGUGCACUACGUAGGGGAUAGAGUACCAUUUGGGUCAGACACAAAAUAAUCUGCCUCUGUGCUAAACCCAUCCACAGAACCAGUGAACCAUCUUGACUGUAUCUCCUGUAGCUCAGGACAGGAGCUUCAUGUUGGGCCCUCCUGGGUCUGAUCCACACAUCAGAGCUAUGUUCAGGAUCCCCAGUGUUAUGGAACAUGACCUAAUAAACAGUUUUGCAAAGUU